GGAGAGAAAGAAGAAGUCCCCAGUGAAAACGCCCAGGAGCAGAGGCUGCGAGGGGAGGGCAGAGCAGGUGGCAAGGCUGGAGGGGGGCAAGGGAGGGGGGGGACACCGGCAAGGCAGCGACUCGCAGAACUCCUCCGAAAUCCCCCCCCCCCCCCUCCUCCGCCCCUCCUUUGCCUCUCGGGGAGCCGCCGCGGGGGAAGCCCCGUCGGGGAGCUCUCCCAGCCCGGGGCUCCCCGGCGCUGCCCUCCCCUCCCGACCCCUCCGGCCAGCCGCCUCCGCCUCGGCGGCCGCCCGCCCGGCCCGGCCCGGCCCAGCCCAGCCCGGCGCCGCCGCCCGGCCCGGGGCAACCCCCCGGCUCCCGGCUGCGGGGCUCCCCUUCCCCGGCAGCGUUUUAAACCGCGGGGUGGGGCGCGGGGGGGAGGUAAGAAUAAACGACCGCAGCCCACACAUCCCCGGUCCCCUCCCGGCAGCAGGGCGCCUCCGAACCGCGCUCCCCCCCCCCGCCUUGCCCCGCUCCGCUCCUCGGCUCGUACCUGCUCUCGGGGCGCCCGAGGGGGCAGCGGGGGCCGCCGCCGAGUGCCGCCGCCGCCGCCGCCGCGCCCCGGCAGCGAGAGGCAUCGCCCGGCUCACGCCUCAGGAGGAGCUCCGCCGAGGAGGCGCCGCCGUUCGUCCCGUCCCGUCCCGUCCCGGCUCACGGGAAGUUGGGCCGGGCGGGGACCGAGGAGCGGCGGCGGCGGCGGCGCUGCGGGAGCGCGGGCGGCUGUGCGCGGGGCGCGGCGCGGCGCGGCGCUUUUGCCGGCUGCCCCGCACGGAGCCGCGCUGACGUCACGCCGGGGGCGGGGGGGACGCGUUUUUCCCACCCCCCCUCCUUCCCCGGUCCCGUGUUUCCCACCACCACCACCCCCACCCCCCCCCCUUUCACCGGAGUCCNNNNNNNNNNNNNNNNNNNNNNNNNNNNNNNNNNNCCCCCCCCCCCCCCCCCCCCCCCCCCCCCCCCCCGGGAUCCGGCUCCGCUCCCGGCUCGGCUGCGCAUCGCGGGAGCGCUCUGCCAGCACCGGCAGCCGCGCCGCGGCCAGGACAGCGCGGGGACUGGGGAGCCGGGGAGUGGAAUCAGGUGUGGGAGGGGAAGUGAGCAAGAGGCUGUGUGGUGCUUAGUUGCUGGCUGCGGUUAAACCACAACACAAAAUCAGAGGCAUUCCUGCCACAGAGGUAGGAAUGGGGAAGCACAGUUUUGGGGAUGAUACUACUCUUCCCCAUUAAGCUUCAGCCUUGUCUUUCAUCAGCAGUGAAAAUUUACUGUCUUACAGCUGACUGCUUAUCUCUAUCCUGAAGGCCUCCUCCUCUCAGUAAGGGUGAGAACUUAUGAAUCAUGUAAGCUGCUGAAACACCUAUGUUAAGGUAAUUUUUCCUUUUUAUGGUAGUCAGCAAAGUUCUUCCAAUCCCUUUCUAUUCAGACACUUUGAGAUAUAUGUGAAUUGGGUUUGCAUGGCAAGGCUUUGGUAACAGGGGGGGCUACAAGGGUGGCUUCUGUGAGCAGGUGCUGGAAGCUUCCCCUGUGUCUGACAGAGCCCAUACCAGCCGGCUCUAAAACAGACCCGCUGCCGGCCAAGGCCGAGCCCAUCAGCGACAGUGAUAGCGCCUAUGGGAUAACUUAUUUAUGAAGGGA
rnacentral:lncRNA from 1 species